CCUACGGGUGGCUGCAGUGGGGAAUAUUGGACAAUGGGGGCAACCCUGAUCCAGCCAUGCCGCGUGUGUGAAGAAGGCCCUCGGGUUGUAAAGCACUUUCAGUGAGGAAGAACGCCUGGUGGUUAAUACCCAUCAGGAAAGACAUCACUCACAGAAGAAGCACCGGCUAACUCCGUGCCAGCAGCCGCGGUAAUACGGAGGGUGCGAGCGUUAAUCGGAAUUACUGGGCGUAAAGCGCGCGUAGGUGGCUUGAUAAGCCGGUUGUGAAAGCCCCGGGCUCAACCUGGGAACGGCAUCCGGAACUAUCAAGCUAGAGUGCAGGAGAGGAAGGUAGAAUUCCCGGUGUAGCGGUGAAAUGCGUAGAGAUCGGGAGGAAUACCAGUGGCGAAGGCGGCCUUCUGGACUGACACUGACACUGAGGUGCGAAAGCGUGGGUAGCAAACAGGAUUAGAUACCCUAGUAGUC
rnacentral:rRNA from 1 species